rnacentral:rRNA from 1 species
ACGUAGGGUACAGGCGUUAAUCGGAAUUACUGGGCGUAAAGGGUGCGUAGGCGGUUCGUUAAGUCUGUUGUGAAAUCCCCGGGCUCAACCUGGGAAUGGCACUGGAUACUGGCGGGCUAGAGUGCGGUAGAGGAUGGCGGAAUUCCCGGUGUAGCAGUGAAAUGCGUAGAGAUCGGGAGGAACAUCCGUGGCGAAGGCGGCCAUCUGGACCAGCACUGACACUGAGGCACGAAAGCGUGGGGAGCAAACAGGA